ACCCUAUGUUGUCUUUUGUGUUCCAUUCCACAAAAGCUUUCUGAUCGUAAAAUGUGCAGAUCUCUCGUAAAUGGACUCAUCACAUCACAACAUUGUUGUUCUUUGGGUUUGGGCUGUGGUCUUUAUGGGAUGGAUUUACCGAGGAAGGGGAGGCUGAAGAGUUGGCCGAGGUCGGAGCAAAAUUGGCAUUUUCUAUUGUGUAUUUUCG